UACGAAGGGGGCUAGCGUUGUUCGGAAUUACUGGGCGUAAAGGGCGCGUAGGCGGUGUGUCAAGUCAGGCGUGAAAGCCCCGGGCUCAACCUGGGAACCGCGCUUGAGACUGGCACGCUCGAGUUCGGGAGAGGAUGGUGGAAUUCCCAGUGUAGAGGUGAAAUUCGUAGAUAUUGGGAAGAACACCGAUGGCGAAGGCAGCCAUCUGGACCGACACUGACGCUGAGGCGCGAAAGCGUGGGGAGCAAACAGGAUUAGAAACCCCCGUAGUCC
rnacentral:rRNA from 1 species